rnacentral:tRNA from 1 species
ACUGAUAUGGCAGAUAAAAUGCAAUGAACUUAAGAUUCAUUUAUAAAGAAUAUUCUUUUAUUAGUU